GAUUAUAACUGAGUGCUUUCAAUGAUUAAGAAAGAUGUAGGAGAAAAUAACAACCAGAUCUAAGGAUGCAUAACUUUCUAAAAUAUAUUUAGUCAUUGAACAUUGAACCAUUUCUUGCUGAUAUGUGUUGGCUUAAUUGUCUAAUGUUCCUACAUUUUUAAAAUUCACUUAAGCAAAGAAAAACAUUGAAAUAAUUUUCAAGACCAAAAUGACUUAAAGUUUGAACAGAUGAUGGCAGGUAAUUUUGUAGAUUCAUAACAUUAUAAACCUUGAUGUUUGUGCUAUACAAUUAUGUGGGUUAAUAUUUUAACAUAAGUAAUAUGUGUUUAAUUGAUUUCAUUAUCUGUAAACCUGCCCCUUUACCCCUACUUUUGGUGUUUUAUACCAUUUUCCAGUUGCUUAAGAAAGAAAACAGAAGAACAACCAUAGACAGAAGUCUCCAUGCUUAAUAAAGGCGUUUGGGCUAUGGCGGUUGGAAUAAUUUUGUCAUGCACCUCAUCUUUGGGUUACAGUAUUGGCAAUUUGUGUGCUACUAUAUGAACCCAAGAUGGAGAAUUCUGGCCCAUUUAAUAUUCGUGCUCACUUUUACAAGUGCACCUAAGAGACUUGGGAUCCUCCAAUUUCAACAACAGGAAAUCUUCCUUCUGCUCUGAUAACUUUGUUCUAAGAUCUGGCUCUGCGAUGUUAAAUAAUAAGGAUAUAUCUAUAAUUCUCAUGUGUACUCAAUACCCCACUACCAC
rnacentral:lncRNA from 1 species